CGCUGGGGGACCUUAAACCUGGCUUCGCCGGCGGUGUUCCUCCCGGGAUUAGGAAGCAGGAAGAGGAGGAUACUGUGGUCCAUCCAGAAGGGCUCUACGCCAGCGCACGCACGGAAACGUAUUUUCUUGCGUUCCUGGUUUAGUUUUCGUGCAGUAGCUGUCAACGUUUUGAAACUACUAUAUGUCUGGGGCCUUGCGAACGUUUCAGCAUUUAAUUUACAACCCAACCAGCCGAUGUUGGAGGUGCAAUUUUCCGCAAUUUUUUCAUACCUCUCCUAUUGCUCAAGGGAAGAACUUAUAUAGCCUGCUGGAGUCCUCAGUAGCCAUACUACACACAGGAUUUCCAACACAACAAUUACCUCAAGAGAGAGUGGUGACUGUAGGCUGUGCACCUAGUGUUCUCACGCUGCUCUGAGAUGGCAAGUAAAGCCAUAGAGAACGGAGAAGGAAUUGCUGCUGAUGCCCUCCUGCAGGAGCUUCAGUCAGAUGAAGAAGAUGAAUCCUCCCAGUCAUCCUCUGCUGGUUCUACUCCUGGGGGGCCACCACAGGAGCCCCCUCCGGGGCCAGAUGCACAUAGCUCUGACUCCCCAGACCCACCCAAAGAUGGAGGCAACAGUGUGGCCCGCAUUGCAG